rnacentral:lncRNA from 1 species
AAGGAACGCGCCUGGCGUCACUGAGGGUGUCACCCGGGACCGCGGCUCAGGAACCCCAGACGCACGGGCCUUGUGCUGUCGCUGCCGUGGCACCCCUUCUAGAAGUCGUGAAGGGGCCUCGUGACUGGGCCUCAUGCCAAACAACUCAUUACAAAAGGAGCUAUGGUCCCAGACCACAACGAAGCUUCAUGAGACCUCUCCUCAUCUGUGCACGGACAAGUGUCUGACUCUGGAGCCCAGGCUGUUGCUUUCCAGUCUGGUGGUGAAUCCUUCACAGUCUGGAUUGAGAUGUUGGAAGCUUUAGAAUGUUGAUUAUGAUGAUACCCAAGACUCAAGUUUAAGAAGGAAAGGAAGCAAUAAGAUCAUGCCUGCUAUUAGUAUAGUCGUCACAGUUAUUGUGUAAAGAAAAUCUAGGUAUCUUGCACCAAGAAGUGGAAAAUAAAGAAGAGAAAUGAGAACCAUGUUUGUAUUGGCUGUCUAUAAAAUAAGAGUUCUAGGUACAUGAAAUCCACUGGUGUGCUGGUAAAUGUUUAAUAACCAGUCCUCUGGAAAGGAGAAAGUUGAAGACCCCAUUUAUACAUUUGCUCAUUUCUGUGGUGUAAAUACCCUGAAAAUAGCUGAUUUCGAGCUAUCAACAUUACUGAAGAUGGAGCUGGGAAGAGGGAGAAGUUAAGUGAAGUUUUCCAACCCACAGCUGUUUUGGCUGAGGCUCCAAAGACUGAGAAUAAAUCAGUAUCUGCCCAGUCACCACGGUGUGCCAAAGGAGGUGCUGGAUUGCCUCGUCAGGACAUGCUACAUGG